rnacentral:rRNA from 1 species
CGAACCGAUACAUGUUGAAAAAUGUUCGGAUGACCUGUGGGUAGGGGUGAAAGGCCAAUCAAACCAGGAGAUAGCUCGUACUCCCCGAAAUGCAUUUAGGUGCAGCGUUGAGUAGAGUGUCAUGGAGGUAGAGCUACCAAUAGGGCUAGGGGGCUUCACCGCCUACCAACCCCUGAUGAACUCCGAAUGCCAUGACAUUGCAUCAGCAGUGAGGCUAUGGGUGCUAAGGUCCAUAGCCAAGAGGGAAACAACCCAGACCAUCAGCUAAGGUCCCCAAAUUUUAGUUAAGUUGAAUGAACGAGGUGGGAAUGCUAAGACAGCUAGGAUGUUGGCUUGGAAGCAGCCAUUCAUUUAAAGAGUGCGUAACAGCUCACUAGUCGAGCGUUCCUGCGCGGAAAAUAAUCGGGCAUCAAACUAAAUACCGAAGCUAUGGAUUUAUAUCAAGAGAUAUAAGUGGUAGGGGAG